UACGUAGGGCGCAAGCGUUAUCCGGAAUUAUUGGGCGUAAAGAGCUCGUAGGCGGCUUGUCACGUCGGGUGUGAAAGACCGGGGCUUAACCCCGGUUCUGCAUUCGAUACGGGCUGGCUAGAGUGUGGUAGGGGAGAUCGGAAUUCCUGGUGUAGCGGUGAAAUGCGCAGAUAUCAGGAGGAACACCAAUGGCGAAGGCAGCACUCUGGACGUGACUGACGCUGAGACGCGAAGCGUGGGGAGCAACAAG
rnacentral:rRNA from 1 species